rnacentral:misc_RNA from 1 species
AAGAAAGUAGAUUUUUGUUGAGAGUGUUGAUUUUUAGAAUAAGCAGGCCCAUUAGACAGGCCCAACCCAUACUCUUGCUGCCCUCUUCCUCCUCCCUCUUUAGAUUCCUUGGUCGGCAUAGUCAUCUAAAGCUCUUUCAAUGGCCUUGGCCAAUGUCAUAGUGUGAAACAAGUCUGGUGUUUCUUGGGGCAAAAUUCUUACUCGUAUCUCUGUUUUUAACCCAUUGAGAAAGUAUCCCAAGUAAUAUUGGUCGGUAAUACCUGG